rnacentral:rRNA from 1 species
GAUCCUGGCUCAGGACGAACGCUGGCGGCGCGCCCAACACAUGCAAGUCGAACGAGAGAUGAAGAGCCUGCUCUUCAAAUCGAGUGGCGAACGGGUGAGUAACGCGUGAGGAACCUGCCUCAAAGAGGGGGACAACAGUUGGAAGCGACUGCUAAUACCGCAUAAGCCCACAGCUCGGCAUCGAGCAGAGGGAAAAGGAGUAAUCCGCUUUGAGAUGGCCUCGCGUCCGA